rnacentral:rRNA from 1 species
GGCCGCGGUAUCCUAACCGUGCGAAGGUAGCGUAAUCACUUGUUCUUUAAAUGGGGACUAGUAUGAAUGGCAUCACGAGGGUUGAACUGUCUCCUUUCUCUAAUCAGUGAAACUAAUCUCCCCGUGAAGAAGCGGGAAUCAUUUUAUAAGACGAGAAGACCCUAUGGAGCUUAAAACAAAUUGACACAUGCUUCCACCUACUUCAAUUCCUGAAUAAAUAUACAAAAUAUAGCAUCAUUGAUUAAUAGUUUUAGAUUGGGGUGAUCAUGGAGCAAAAAAUAACCUCCACGACGAAAAGGAAUAUUUCCUGAGCCAAAAGCCACAACUUUAAGCACUAAAAAAUUAACGCAUCUUGACCCAAUUUUUUGAGCAACGAACCAAGUUACCCUAGGGAUAACAGCGCAAUCCACUUCAAGAGCCCCUAUCGACAAGUGGGCUUACGACCUCGAUGUUGGAUCA